UACGGAGGGUGCAAGCGUUAUCCGGAUUCACUGGGUUUAAAGGGUGCGUAGGUGGGCAAGUAAGUCAGUGGUGAAAUCUCCGGGCUUAACCCGGAAACUGCCAUUGAUACUAUUUGUCUUGAAUACUGUGGAGGUCAGCGGAAUAUGUCAUGUAGCGGUGAAAUGCUUAGAUAUGACAUAGAACAUCAAUUGCGAAGGCAGCUGGCUACACAAAUAUUGACACUGAGGCACGAAAGCGUGGGGAUCAAACAGG
rnacentral:rRNA from 1 species